rnacentral:rRNA from 1 species
AGAGUUUGAUCAUGGCUCAGAGCGAACGCUGGCGGCAGGCCUAACACAUGCAAGUCGAACGAAGUCUUCGGACUUAGUGGCGGACGGGUGAGUAACACGUGGGAACGUACCUUUUGGUUCGGAACAACUCAGGGAAACUUGAGCUAAUACCGAAUGUGCCCUUCGGGGGAAAGAUUUAUCGCCAUUAGAGCGGCCCGCGUUAGAUUAGCUAGUUGGUGGGGUAAAGGCCCACCAAGGCUACGAUCUAUAGCUGGUCUGAGAGGAUGAUCAGCCACACUGGGACUGAGACACGGCCCAGACUCCUACGGGAGGCAGCAGUGGGGAAUCUUGCGCAAUGGGCGAAAGCCUGACGCAGCCAUGCCGCGUGAAUGAUGAAGGUCUUAGGAUUGUAAAAUUCUUUCAGUAGGGACGAUAAUGACGGUACCUACAGAAGAAGCCCCGGCUAACUUCGUGCCAGCCGCCGCGGUAAUUC